rnacentral:rRNA from 1 species
UACGAGGGGGGCGAGCGUUGUUCGGAAUUAUUGGGCGUAAAGGGUGCGUAGGCGGUUCCGCAAGUCCUGUGUGAAAUCUUCGGGCUCAACUCGAAGUCUGCACGGGAAACUGCGGGGCUUGAGUGUGGGAGAGGUGAGUGGAAUUCCCGGUGUAGCGGUGAAAUGCGUAGAUAUCGUGAGGAACACCAGAGGCGAAGGCGGUUACCUGGACAGUUACUGACGCUCAGGCACGAAAGCAUGGGGAGCAAAAGGG